CCUACCUUUGUUAGGGUGCAGUUCAAAUAAAAUUUAAAGGUAAAGACACUCUGCAGAUUUAAAGAUAAACAAUAUAAAUUAGCUCCUUCUUUCAGGGGCCUGGCGCAAAUGACGUCUCUGUGAUAUCUUGGCGCCGUUCAGCAAGCCGCUGUCUUUAUAGCUAGAACGGCAAAUCUGAAAAGAAGAAAAUUGGCAAAACUAUCCAAUCCUUGUAUUGAUAAAAAAUAUGUUGACAGAGUGAAGCUUCAAGCGCAAGUACAAAACAAGUUCUCUUUCAAAUAUGCGGCGAAUGUGCUUCCUAACCUGAAAGAAAACACACCAAGCCUCGGGCAUCGUGUGUGGUUAAGAGGAGGCCUGGUGGGCUCACUCUUCAGUGUUCCUGCCUGUCUUAGAACGUGCCACCAGCAGCAGGUGAGUCUUGAGGGUCUGGAAGGAAAGACCUACCCUCUGAUUUACUGAUUUAUGGAUUCGGAGCCUAGGGAGCCUUAGGGCUCAGAUGGAUCGAGUGGGAGCUAUUUCUGCCGAAUGUGGCAAUAGGAACUGGUCCCUGGAGUUAGAGUGUUAAGUUUGUAUUCUGGGGGGAGGUGGGGCAAGACCCGCUGGGAUAGAAAGCGAUUUUGGAAUUUUUAUAUUUUGAAGAACUUUACUUGUAAAUCCUAUUUUUUAGUGAGUUCUGUAAUGUACAUAAGACAUAUGUAAUAGAACAUGAUUAAAACUGAUACAUAAUCCAAAUGAAUAAAUACUAUGUUUGUGUGUAUAUGUGUGUGUGU
rnacentral:lncRNA from 1 species